CAAGGCAGAGGGGGGACACGAGGAGAGUUGCGCUCCUCAAGUCACGGCAGCAGGCCCUCACUUGACUUCAAUUCUGCGCAGAAGAGCAGAAGUCUGCGGCCCCUCCGUUCCUCCAGCUCCAGUCCCAGUCCCAGUCCCAGACCAUGCCUUGCGCCGCCACCGAGCUCGUCCAUGGCGAGGGAGGCACGGUCAAGGUAGGCACAACGGGCACCAUCGGCUCGCUCAUGACAAGGGAGCUGGACUCCACCACUCCCCGGAAGCUCAUGCUGAGGAAGAGCUCGUCCGACGUCUCCAGCAGCAGCAGCAGCAACAGAACCGGCCGCGUGGGCACCGAAGAGGCGUGCAAGCCGAGGAGGGCCUCGCGGACGAACACCUUCGACUCACCGAUGCUGCGGCCCGACGGCGGCGCGCUGGUGGACCGGGCCCCGAGCGCCGGCAGGGCGAAGAAGAAGGGGACGAGCGUGGGCGUGCACGGCGGCGGGGUCCAGGUGGUGGACGUCAAGUGCGGCAACCCGAUGAGCAUGAGCAGCCGGCUCAGGAAGCUCGGCUUCUCCAAGCUGUCGCAGACGUUUGCGUAGCUUCAAUUCUGUGCAGUGGAGCAUGGCGAGGGGCCGAGGGCAAAGGACCAGCGCCAGCAUCGGAAUUGAAGGGUCUGCUUGCUGCUGCCCUUUCCUUGAGGGCGUCUUCGGCUUUGGAGGACAUCUGCCAUGUGCUGGAUUUAGUGCAGCAAUCAUUCACUAACAGUGUGAGUGUCCAUUCGGUCCGGCCUUGUGGGCUGCCACUGCCAUCCAGUUCGCAUCUAGCUGUAGUCGCUUUUUCUAGCUGUUUUUUUCUCCACUAUGUGGAAACUGCUGUUGCGCUCUGUGUAUGGAUGAUGUGUUCAACUGUAGGUGCAAGAGCACCUUGAUUAGAUCUUCUAUUUUUUUUCUGCUUUAUAAUAUAUAAACAGUUAUAGGAGGGCAACAACUAAUGUGUAAGCAGUACUUAAAUGGAGC
rnacentral:misc_RNA from 1 species